rnacentral:piRNA from 1 species
UGUAAACAAUCGGUGUUGGUUUGGUGUGU